rnacentral:rRNA from 1 species
UACGUAGGGGGCAAGCGUUGUCCGGAUUCAUUGGGCGUAAAGAGCGUGUAGGCGGCCUGACAGGUCUGCUGUGAAAACUCGAGGCUCAACCUCGAGAUGUCGGCGGAAACCGUCUGGCUAGAGUCCGGAAGAGGAGAGUGGAAUUCCUGGUGUAGCGGUGAAAUGCGCAGAUAUCAGGAAGAACACCAAUGGCGAAGGCAGCUCUCUGGGACGGUACUGACGCUGAGACGCGAAAGCGUGGGGAGCGAACAGG